GUCUAAAGGUUUCUUCGGAAACCUUGGCGGACUGCUCAGUAACACGUGGAUAACCUACCCUUGGGACUGGAAUAACCCCGGGAAACUGGGGAUAAUACCGGAUAGAUCAGGGAUGCUGGAAUGCACCUUGAUCCAAAGCUCCGGCGCCCAAGGAUGGGUCUGCGGCCUAUCAGGUAGUAGUGGGUGUAACGUACCUACUAGCCAACGACGGGUACGGGUUGUGAGAGCAAGAGCCCGGAGAUGGAUUCUGAGACACGAAUCCAGGCCCUACGGGGUGCAGCAGGCGCGAAACCUUUACAAUGUGCGAAAGCAUGAUAAGGGAACUCCGAGUGCCAGUAUCUAAUACUGGCUGUCCUUGUGCCUAAAACGCACAAGAUAGCAAGGGCCGGGUAAGACCGGUGCCAGCCGCCGCGGUAACACCGGCGGCCCGAGUGGUAGCCGCUAUUAUUGGGUCUAAAGGGUCCGUAGCCGGUUCGAUAAGUCCUCUGGGAAAUCUGGUUGCUUAACAAUCAGACUGCCAAGGGAUACUGUCGAACUUGAGACCGGGAGAGGUAAGAGGUACUUCAGGGGUAGGAGUGAAAUCUUGUAAUCCCUGGGGGACCAUCUGUGGCGAAUGCGUCUUACCAGAACGGGUCUGACGGUGAGGGACGAAAGCUGGGGGCGCAAACCGGAUUAGAUACCCGGGUAGUCCCAGCCGUAAACGAUGCUCGCUAUGUGUCAGGUACGGUGUGACCGUAUCUGGUGCCGUACGGAAACCGUG
rnacentral:rRNA from 1 species